CGGUACUCGUUAAGGCUGAGCUGUGAUGGGGAGAAGACAUUGUGUCUUCGAGUCGUUGAUUUCACACUGCCGAGAAAAGCCUCUAGAUAGAAAAUAGGUGCCCGUACCGCAAACCGACACAGGUAGUCAAGAUGAGAAUUCUAAGGUGAGCGAGCGAACUCUCGUUAAGGAACUCGGCAAAAUGACCCCGUAACUUCGGGAGAAGGGGUGCUCUUUAGGGUUAACGCCCAGAAGAGCCGCAGUGAAUAGGCCCAAGCGACUGUUUAUCAAAAACACAGGUCUCUGCUAAACCGUAAGGUGAUGUAUAGGGGCUGACGCCUGCCCGGUGCUGGAAGGUUAAGAGGAGUGGUUAGCUUCUGCGAAGCUACGAAUCGAAGCCCCAGUAAACGGCGGCCGUAACUAUAACGGUCCUAAGGUAGCGAAAUUCCUUGUCGGGUAAGUUCCGACCCGCACGAAAGGCGUAACGAUUUGGGCACUGUCUCAACGAGAGACUCGGUGAAAUCAUAGUACCUGUGAAGAUGCAGGUUACCCGCGACAGGACGGAAAGACCCCGUGGAGCUUUACUGUAGCCUGAUAUUGAAAUUCGGCACAGCUUGUACAGGAUAGGUAGGAGCCUUUGAAACGUGAGCGCUAGCUUACGUGGAGGCGCUGGUGGGAUACUACCCUAGCUGUGUUGGCUUUCUAACCCGCACCACUUAUCGUGGUGGGAGACAGUGUCAGGCGGGCAGUUUGACUGGGGCGGUCGCCUCCUAAAAGGUAACGGAGGCGCUCAAAGGUUCCCUCAGAAUGGUUGGAAAUCAUUCAUAGAGUGUAAAGGCAUAAGGGAGCUUGACUGCGAGACCUACAAGUCGAGCAGGGUCGAAAGACGGACUUAGUGAUCCGGUGGUUCCGCAUGGAAGGGCCAUCGCUCAACGGAUAAAAGCUACCCCGGGGAUAACAGGCUUAUCUCCCCCAAGAGUUCACAUCGACGGGGAGGUUUGGCACCUCGAUGUCGGCUCAUCGCAUCCUGGGGCUGUAGUCGGUCCCAAGGGUUGGGCUGUUCGCCCAUUAAAGCGGUACGCGAGCUGGGUUCAGAACGUCGUGAGACAGUUCGGUCCCUAUCCGUCGUGGGCGUAGGAAAUUUGAGAGGAGCUGUCCUUAGUACGAGAGGACCGGGAUGGACAUACCUCUGGUGUACCAGUUGUCGUGCCAACGGCAUAGCUGGGUAGCUAUGUGUGGACGGGAUAAGUGCUGAAAGCAUCUAAGCAUGAAGCCCCCCUCAAGAUGAGAUUUCCCAACUUCGGUUAUAAGAUCCCUCAAAGAUGAUGAGGUUAAUAGGUUCGAGGUGGAAGCAUGGUGACAUGUGGAGCUGACGAAUACUAAUCGAUCGAAGACUUAAUCAA
rnacentral:rRNA from 1 species